rnacentral:lncRNA from 10 species
AGCAACCCACAAAGACAGAACUGAUUUUUUUCCCAUAAUCAGGGGUGAAAAAUAUACAACUUGUUUCUGAACCAAAACCACAAUUUCUGCAGUUUAAAAUGUUUCACUGCUAAUAUGGCCCUGGUAGAAAUUAUGUAGUUUCUUUUCUUCUUUAAAAAAAAAAAAAAUUAAAAAAAUUUCCUAAGACACUAAAUGCUCCAUCUGGAAUGUAGAUUCUGAUCACAAAGCAGCUCAGUUAACCUAAAAAAUAAAAAAUUCCCAUCACCUGUCUCAGUAGGGCCUGAGAGUAGUGUGGGGAACCCCAGCUUUGGUAUGGAGAGUCAUGGCCCCUUGAACCAGAUAGAGACCUUGAAUAGCCAUAGCUGGUGCUUCUCUCAGGAUAAACUCUGAUGUAGGAAGUAUCACCCUCAUGAGAGUGGAAUUUGGUCAUCCAGUUGACGCAGGGCAUAUUCCAUGUCUUCUUUUCUGAGACACCCAACCAUCCCCACUCCAUCCUUCUGCACAUCCGUGUAACAGGCAUCCCCAGCUUCUCGCGUGUGAUCCUUCAGGUCCUGCCAGCUGCCUGAUGGAAGAAGUCCAUUUCUUCCAUAAAUAGCAUCCUCUGCAUCUCGAGGGUCCUCGAAGCGCACGGAGG